CCCCUUCCCCAAACCCACCCAAACUUGCAGGGCGCGCGCUGCGCUUCACAUUUGCUCUCGCGCACGGGUUGAUAGUGUGAUGAGAAGUUCGUCUCAUCCUUCUUAACAUCAGGAGGAGGAAAUACAUUCUUAUUGAACCACGAUGCCAAACGCACGUGCAGCAAACACGGCGUGGAAUGAUUUGGUGGAUUUGAUGUUUGGAUCUGUUAGAUAUCCAGAUGAUGGCCGAUCUCUACGAGUACGAGCAGCAUAGGUAUGUGGAGGUCUGACUCGGCCGCUGGAGAAAGUGAUGGCAGUGUUUCCUCGUGAGGAUUCUGAUGUAACUGGAGGUGGCAGAUGAAUGAAGAAACAAGCUCAAGGAAUCAUGGGAAAGAUCUUUUAAGAUAUUAUUCUGUAAUUAUGAAAACAUUUAAUGCUAUAAUAUAAUAUAAUAUAAUAUAAUAUAAUAUAAUAUAAUGUAAUGUAAUAUAAUGUAAUGUAAUGUAAUGUAAUGAUAUCUGGUAUUUUAUUCAUGUAAACUAUUUCCAUGUUUUGUUUUUCUUUUUAAAUAAACACAUAUGU